AUUGAACGCUGGCGGAAUGCUUUACACAUGCAAGUCGAACGGUAGAGGGGGCAACCCCCUUGAGAGUGGCGAACGGGUGAGUAAUAUAUCGGAACGUGCCCAGUCGUGGGGAUAACGUAGCGAAAGUUACGCUAAUACCGCAUACGAUCUACGGAUGAAAGCGGGGGAUCGCAAGACCUCGCGCGAUCGGAGCGGCCGAUAUCAGAUUAGGUAGUUGGUGAGGUAAAGGCUCACCAAGCCGACGAUCUGUAGCUGGUCUGAGAGGACGAUCAGCCACACUGGGACUGAGACACGGCCCAGACUCCUACGGGAGGCAGCAGUGGGGAAUUUUGGGACAAUGGGGGAAACCCUGAUCCAGCAAUGCCGCGUGAGUGAAGAAGGCCUCGGUUGU
rnacentral:rRNA from 1 species